GACGAACGCUGGCGGCGUGCCUAAUACAUGCAAGUCGAACGCACUCUCGUUUAGAUUGAAGGAGCUUGCUCCUGAUUGAUAAACAUUUGAGUGAGUGGCGGACGGGUGAGUAACACGUGGGUAACCUGCCCUAAAGUGGGGGAUAACAUUUGGAAACAGAUGCUAAUACCGCAUAAAACCUAACACCGCAUGGUGUAGGGUUGAAAGAUGGUUUCGGCUAUCACUUUAGGAUGGACCCGCGGUGCAUUAGUUAGUUGGUGAGGUAAAGGCUCACCAAGACCGUGAUGCAUAGCCGACCUGAGAGGGUAAUCGGCCACACUGGGACUGAGACACGGCCCAGACUCCUACGGGAGGCAGCAGUAGGGAAUCCUCCACAAUGGACGAAAGUCUGAUGGAGCAACGCCGCGUGAGUGAAGAAGGUUUUCGGAUCGUAAAACUCUGUUGUUGGAGAAGAAUGUAUCUGAUAGUAACUGAUCAGGUAGUGACGGUAUCCAACCAGAAAGCC
rnacentral:rRNA from 1 species